AAAGGGGGAGAAAUAGGGUUUAUGAGUCUUGAUAGCAGAGUCUUGAGUCUUGAGUCUUAGGUCUAGAGUGUCCAGGGAGUAGUAGGGAUUUGAUUCUGAUCAUUUAUAUCCAAUGAUCAAUCUCGAACAUCCAUAAAUAUGGACGGAAUUUCUUUGUAAUUUCGAUGUUACAUCAAAUGAAUGAAAUUCCCCUCUGUUUUAUUUGUGUUUUUG
rnacentral:lncRNA from 1 species